AACCUCCGCAAUGUGAGAAAUCGCGACGGGGGGAUCCCAAGUGCCAUUCUUAACGGGAUGGCUUUUCAUUAGCGUAAAGAGCUUUUGGAAUAAGAGCUGGGCAAGACCGGUGCCAGCCGCCGCGGUAACACCGGCAGCUCUAGUGGUAACAAUUUUUAUUGGGCCUAAAGCGUCCGUAGCCGGUUUAAUAAGUCUCUGGUGAAAUCCUGCAGCUUAACUGUGGGAAUUGCUGGAGAUACUAUUAGACUUGAGACCGGGAGAGGUUAGAGGUACUCCCAGGGUAGAGGUGAAAUUCUGUAAUCCUGGGAGGACCGCCUGUUGCGAAGGCGUCUAACUGGAACGGUUCUGACGGUGAGGGACGAAAGUUAGGGGCGCGAACCGGAUUAGAUACCCGGGUAGUCCCAACUGUAAACGAUGCGGACUUGGUGUUGGGGUGGCUUUGAGCUGCUUCAGUGCCGAAGGGAAGCUGUUAAGUCCGCCGCCUGGGAAGUACGGUCGCAAGACUGAAACUUAAAGGAAGU
rnacentral:rRNA from 1 species